GAAGGCUGGAGACGGGCGUGGGGGGUAAGCUCCCACGUCGCGAGGGGAACAACCCAGACUAGGGUUAAGGCCCCUAAAUCCCGGCUAAGUGUAGAAAUCGAAGGUCGUCUUCAACCUAAAACAGCUGGAAGGUAGGCUUAGAAGCAGCCAUCCUGUAAGCAUUGCGUAACAGCUGACCAGUCGAGGUUGGGGGCGCCGAAAAUGGACGGGGCUAAGCUGGGUGCCGAUACCCUAGGUCACAAUCUGAUAGAUUGUGGCGGUAUGCGGGCGUUGUGGCUGGGCGGAAGCNNNNNNNNNAGUGCAGAUCCCGGUGGUAGUAACAGCAAAGAAGGGUGAGAAUCCCUUCCGCCGUAGGGGCAAGGGUUCCCCGGCAACGGUCGUCAGCCGGGGGUAAGUCGAUCCUAAGGUGACCCUUAACCGGUGUCGCCGAAAGGGAAAUAGGUUAAUAUUCCCAUACCACGGAGGUACAUUUCGCGGUAACGCAAGGUCCGAGGCCUGACGCUUUUGGAUAGAUUGAGUGGAGUCGUCGCUCCAUCUAACCAUCGAAAUCCGGGGAGUACCGUAAUGGUGAGAACCGGAUGAAGAUGGGAAUGGCCUCCCGUAUUAAGGGGGGUUCAGUCGAUUCCGGGAGCCAAUGAAAAAGGCUGCGGAAAGGAUCCUUCGUGUCCGUACCCAGAACUGACACAGGUGCCCCUAGGUGAGAAGCCUAAGGCGUGUCGGGGGGAACCCAGGCGAGGGAACUCGGCAAAUUAGCCCUCUAACUUUGGGAUAAGGGGUGCCUGAAACUUUAACCUCAGGUUGGGGUUUCAGGUCGCAGUGACAAGGGGGGCGCGACUGUUUAAUAAAAACACAGGAGGCCGCUAGCCCGAAAGGGUGUGUACGGCCUUUGAAUCCUGGCCAGUGGCGGUACCUUAAACCUAGGNNCUCUCUUAAGGUAGCCAAAUGCCUUGUCGGGUAAGUUCCGACGUGCAUGAAUGGAUUAACGACGUCCCCGCUGUCCCCGCCUGGGGCCCGGUGAACCCACAUAACUUAGACGAACAGUCUAGGAUCUCCCAGCGGGGCGAGAAGUCCCCGUGGAGCUUUACUGCAG
rnacentral:rRNA from 1 species